CUUUUUUCGCAGGAGCUGCCCUACACUUUGCACAGACCUGGGCUCUUCCCAGAUUACCUCAUCAACAUCUUUACAAGCCAACUCAGAGAGUGCAGCAACCCUGUAGAUGGACUGCUUCACCCAGUGCUGCUGGUUCUUAUGGCUGUCACUCCCAAUGGGUAGUUUUAUUGCCAAAUUCCAUCAUAAGCAGUACUACCCAUACCCUGACCAAAGAAGGAAAGGGGAAUUAACACGACCACCUGCCUACUGAAUGCCAGGCGCUGUGCUAAAUGUGAGUUAUGGAGGCUGAGAAGUGCAAGUUCAAGAGGCCAGAUCUGGCGAGGGCCUUCCUGUUGGUGAGGACACUGCAGACUCCCCAGAUGGUGCAGGGCAUCACAUGGUCCAGUCUAAUUCCCCUCCCCAGGAAGAGGGAUGAGCCUUUGUGGCUGCCUCCAUAAAUGAAAAUGCGAUGGAAAGGAUGCUGCACGACUUAUGAGGCUAAGUCAUAAGAAGAACUAAAGCUUCUACCCAUUUCCACUUCCUUUUGGGAAACGUGUCUUGGGAGCCCUGAGCCAAUAUGUAAGAAGUCCAGCUAUGUAUAGCCACCAUGCUGCAGAAACCACACAGAGAUAAAGAUUCGUGAGGAGUCUCCCCAUUUCCAGUUCCCAGCUGCUUGAGUCCUCCCACCUCCCAGAAUGAACUGUCAGACAUGUGAGUAGAAAUGACUCCAGACCCAGCCUUCAAGCUGUUGUCCCAGCUGACACCAAGUAGAGCAAAGGAGUUGUCUCCAUCAGUCUAGCUCAUAUUGCAGAUUUGUGAGAAAAAAACAAAUGUUGCUGCGUUAAGCCAGUAAAUGCUAGGAUAAUUUGUUAUAUGACAAUGACAAGAGUAACCAGGACACCACCCUUGUGUUAUCAUUACGUUCUCCCCUUGCUUCUUGUGAUGCCCUUGCUUUUCUUCUCUACCAGUUGCUGAGAAUUAGAGGAAGACCUUUGCUCCCACCAAUGUCAACAUUUCUUUACCAGAAAACACAGAGGCAUUUAACUCAUAUUUCGAAGACUUACAGCUUCUUAUAAUGGCCCUGGUGGUUAUACUUUUUGUUCUACUGACUCUAUUUUGUUACAGUUACUCUGCCCACAAAGUGCAAGACCCUUUGUGAUUAUGUUGGGGGACAUCAAUUCAAAUGACACCGUGAUAGCAUUACUGUCAAAUCAUGCUUCCCUCUCAAUGCUGUUGAUGAAGCUGGUGUACCCCAACCCUGUUCUUACAGGUUAAGUUGCUUUUUCCCACUUGAAACAUUGUACAACAGCCAAAAGCUUAUCUGGUCAGUUUUAAUGCGUCCUGCCCCUUCCUAGGACUUAUUGCAAUGACAAACAUAUAAGAGCUGUGAAAACUCUGUGACUUACACACAGUAGGCACCUGGUGUUUUAAGUGCUCUUCCUGAAAUGCUCACUGACAAUAAAACUAUUGAACAGAUCAGGACUGAAAACAUAGCUUUGUUUUGUGCCAGCAAAGACUCUCUUCUCUCCUUUACAGGUUGACAUUGAGCCAUUAAUCAACAGUAUGUUCAACAGUAACUAGUGAGUUAUGAAUCCAACUAUGUGCCUCUAUUU
rnacentral:lncRNA from 10 species